rnacentral:rRNA from 1 species
ACACCGGCAGAUCAAGUGGUAGCCGCUUUUAUUGGGCCUAAAGCGUCCGUAGCCGGUCUGAUAAGUCUCUGGUGAAAUCCCACAGCUUAACUGUGGGAAUUGCUGGAGAUACUAUCAUGACUCGAGGUCGGGAGAGGCUGGAGGUACUCCCAGGGUAGGGGUGAAAUCCUGUAAUCCUGGGAGGACCACCUGUGGCGAAGGCGUCGAGCUAGAACGAUCAUGACGGUGAGGGACGAAAGCAAGGGGCAAGAACCGGAUUAGAUACCCGUGUAGUCCUGGAGGAAGACGAUGUGGACUUGGUGUGGGGAUGGCCUCGAGCUGCCCAAGUGCCGAAGGGAAGCUGUUAAGUCCACCGCCUGGGAAGUACGGUCGCAAGACUGAAACUUAAAUGAAUUGGCUGGG